CACAAUGAGAUUUUUGAUAACUAAUCAUCAGUAAUGUGGAAUGUUAAUGACUAAGUGGGAAAUGGCAAAUAAUGGAACAGUUGCACUAGUUAGGUAAGUUCAGAAAAUGACACCCCUUUACUGUAAUGCAGCCUUUAAAACCAGUGAAAAGACAACACUUAUGCCAUAAUACGAUCCAAAAAAUCUAAGACGAUUCAUGUCUUAUGUCACGAUAUCGAUAUAUUGCCCAGCCCUACACC